CCUACGGGUGGCAGCAGUGGGGCAUAUUGCGCAAUGGGCGAAAGCCUGACGCAGCGACGCCGCGUGAGGGAUGAAGGUCUUCGGAUCGUAAACCUCUGUCAGCAGGGAAGAACGGUCACUGUGCUAAUCAGCAGUGAAUUGACGGUACCUGCAAAGGAAGCACCGGCUAACUCCGUGCCAGCAGCCGCGGUAAUACGGAGGGUUGGAGCGUUAAUCGGAAUGUCAGGGCGUAAAGCGCUCGUCGGCGGGAUGUCAAGUCAAGGGUGAAAUCUCCGCGCUCAACGUGGGAACUGCCGUUGAAACUGGGAAACUGGAGUGUGUGAGAGGAUAGUGGAAGUCCAGGUGUAGGAGUGAAAGCCGUAGAUAUCUGGAGGAACAUCAGUGGCGAAGGCGACUAUCUGGCACAUAACUGACGCUGAGGAGCGAAAGCGUGGGUAGCAAACAGGAUUAGAUACCCUAGUAGUC
rnacentral:rRNA from 1 species